rnacentral:rRNA from 1 species
UGCCUACGGGACGCAGCAGUGGGGGAUAUUGCACAAUGGGGGAAACCCUGAUGCAGCGACGCCGCGUGAGUGAAGAAGUAUUUCGGUAUGUAAAGCUCUAUCAGCAGGGAAGAAGAUGACAGUACCUGAGUAAGAAGCCCCGGCUAACUACGUGCCAGCAGCCGCGGUAAUACGUAGGGGGCAAGCGUUAUCCGGAUUUACUGGGUGUAAAGGGAGCGUAGACGGUUGUAUAAGUCUGGAGUGAAAGGCGGGGGCCCAACCCCCGGACUGCUCUGGAAACUGUAUGGCUGGAGUGCAGGAGGGGG